CUCCCGGUGGCUCAGUUGGUAAAAGCACUCAUUCCGAGUGUAGACUGAACGCUAUGGCCCGGGUUCGAUCCCGGCCGUGUUA
rnacentral:tRNA from 1 species